CAGGAGCAAAGAGUUUUAGGUAGGCUUGUUUCUAUGAGACAUUUAUUCUUGUUUAUAAUUGAGGACCACCACUGCCAUCUGUAUACUGUCUCUGCUUCCCCCAAUGAGACUGAGAUGGAGGCAGACGGUAAAGUGACCCUCCACUGCAUCCUGUACACACAAGACAACUGUGGAGGAUCAGAGGCAGAUGAAGGAGUUAGUCUGAGCUGGGUGGAUGAGGGAGGGAAAGAGCUACAGAACGAUAACAAUCGCCAGAUCAGAACCACACCUCCCUGUUCCAUCACACUGACUGAGGAGCUCAGAGGUCCAAACCCUGUUCAUACUCGGACAUGCCAGCUGACUGCAGGAGGGCAGGUUCAGACUUCUGUCUCCCACACCAUCAGAGUGAAAGAAUGAAACUGUCACCACUGCUUCCUCAAACUCAGGCCCAUCAGGUACAGCAUGAAGACCAUCAUCCCCUCAGUCUCUAAUAAUUAUGCUACAGGUCUUCAAAUUGUGCAAUAUGCUACUC
rnacentral:lncRNA from 1 species